GUUUGCUUUGACAGGACAUAUACUAUAUUUGCAAUGACACUGAGAAGAAUAGCUUGGCCCUGUGCAAGGACAACACUUAUGCUUGUGAAGCUUUCCUUAUUUUU